rnacentral:tRNA from 1 species
UGGCCGAGCGGUUAAGGCGAGAGAUUAGAAAUCUCUUGGGGUUUCCCGCGUAGGUUCGAAUCCUGC